CUCCUCAAGCCUCUUCACAAUGCUCACCCCGAGGAGU
rnacentral:sRNA from 1 species